rnacentral:rRNA from 1 species
UACGAAGGGGGCUAGCGUUGCUCGGAAUCACUGGGCGUAAAGGGUGCGUAGGCGGGUCUUUUAAGUCAGGGGUGAAAUCCUGGAGCUCAACUCCAGAACUGCCUUUGAUACUGAAGAUCUUGAGUUCGGGAGAGGUGAGUGGAACUGCGAGUGUAGAGGUGAAAUUGAUAGAUAUUCGCAAGAACACCAGUGGCGAAGGCGGCUCACUGGCCCGAUACUGACGCUGAGGCACGAAAGCGUGGGGAGCAAACAGG